rnacentral:rRNA from 1 species
GCUGGGUGGAUGAGUGGCGAACGGGUGAGUAACACGUGAGUAACCUGCCCUUCACUCUGGGAUAACUCCGGGAAACCGGUGCUAAUACUGGAUAGGACUCCUGCCUGCAUGGGUGGGGGUGGAAAGAUUUAUCGGUGGAGGAUGGACUCGCGGCCUAUCAGCUUGUUGGUGGGGUAAUGGCCUACCAAGGCGACGACGGGUAGCCGGCCUGAGAGGGUGACCGGCCACACUGGGACUGAGACACGGCCCAGACUCCUACGGGAGGCAGCAGUGGGGAAUAUUGCACAAUGGGCGAAAGCCUGAUGCAGCGACGCCGCGUGCGGGAUGACGGCCUUCGGGUUGUAAACCGCUUUCAGUAGGGACGAAGCUUUUGUGACGGUACCUACAGAAGAAGCACCGGCUAACUACGUGCCAGCAGCCGCGGUAAUACGUAGGGUGCGAGCGUUGUCCGGAAUUAUUGGGCGUAAAGAGCUUGUAGGCGGUUUGUCGCGUCUGCUGUGAAAGCCCGGGGCUUAACCCUGGGUCUGCAGUGGGUACGGGCAGGCUAGAGUGUGGUAGGGGAGACUGGAAUUCCUGGUGUAGCGGUGGAAUGCGCAGAUAU